rnacentral:rRNA from 1 species
AUUGAACGCUGGCGGCAGGCCUAACACAUGCAAGUCGAGCGGAUGAAGGGAGCUUGCUCCUGGAUUCAGCGGCGGACGGGUGAGUAAUGCCUAGGAAUCUGCCUGGUAGUGGGGGAUAACGUCCGGAAACGGGCGCUAAUACCGCAUACGUCCUGAGGGAGAAAGUGGGGGAUCUUCGGACCUCACGCUAUCAGAUGAGCCUAGGACGGAUUAGCUAGUUGGUGGGGUAACGGCCUACCAAGGCGACGAUCCGUAACUGGUCUGAGAGGAUGAUCAGUCACACUGGAACUGAGACACGGUCCAGACUCCUACGGGAGGCAGCAGUGGGGAAUAUUGGACAAUGGGCGAAAGCCUGAUACAGCCAUGCCGCGUGUGUGAAGAAGGUCUUCGGAUUGUAAAGCACUUUAAGUUGGGAGGAAGGGCAGUAAGUUAAUACCUUGCUGUUUUGACGGUACCAACAGAAUAAGCACCGGCUAACUUCGUG